rnacentral:rRNA from 1 species
AGAGUUUGAUCCUGGCUCAGGACGAACGCUGACGGCGUGCUUUAGACAUGCAAGUCGAACGAAGCCUUCGGGCUUAGUGGCGCACGGGUGCGUAACGCGUGGGAACCUGCCUUUAGGUUCGGAAUAACUCUCCGAAAGGGGUGCUAAUACCGAAUAAUGUCUUCGGACCAAAGAUUUAUCGCCUUUAGAUGGGCCCGCGUUGGAUUAGCUAGUUGGUGGGGUAAAGGCCUACCAAGGCGACGAUCCAUAGCUGGUCUUAGAGGAUGAUCAGCCACACGGGAACUGAGACACGGUCCCGACUCCUACGGGGGGCAGCAGUGAGGAAUAUUGGGCAAUGGACGCAAGUCUGACCCAGCAACGCCGCGUGGAGGACGAAGGCUUUCGAGUUGUAAACUCCUUUUGUGGGGGACAAGCAAGGAUGGUACCCCAAGAAUCAGUCACGGCUAACUACGUGCCAGCAGCCGCGGUAAUACGUAGGUGACGAGCGUUAUCCGGAAUUAUUGGGCGUAAAGCGCACGCAAGCGGUUUAUCAAGUCUGACGUGAAAUCUCCUGGCUUAACUGGGAGCGGUCGUUGGAAACUGAUAAGCUUGAGGCGAUGAGAGGGGUGCAGAAUUCCCGGUGUAGUGGUGGAAUGCGUAGAGAUCGGGGGGAAUACCUGUGGCGAAAGCGGCACCCUGGCGUCGUUCUGACGCUCAUGUGCGAAAGCGUGGGGAGCGAACGGGAUUAGAUACCCCCGUAGUCC